UUUUCUCAGUUGCUAUGUAGGUUUUUGUAUAAUGGAAUUCCCUUAUCCAAUUCAACCACCAAUAAACCGAACUGAGUUUUUGUUCCUCUGCUGUUGAUCUCUAUCUGAACUUUUUACUGCUCUCGAUUUUUUUCUUAUCCUCUUUUUUUUUCUGAUAACUGCCACUUGUUUCUGUCUCCCCAACCCACUGAUCUCUUCUGGUAAUGAUUUCCAUCCAUAAGUUCAGACCGGACAAUAGGAGGAGAUUCAUUGAUCAAUAUGUUUCCUUCUCACCAAACAAUUACGGUUUCGACUCGCCUUUAGGACCAGAUUAAUAGGGUAAGUUCCUCUUUCUUUUCGUAUCAUCUGUACAUGCGAGAAAAUCAGUCACAGUGAUAUUUAAUUAGGUAGGAGAAUUUUGUUCUGGUGUAAUAGAUUUUGUUUGGAAGAUUAUAACCUUCCAGGCAUGGGAGAUCUCUUUUGUUCGUCUGUAAUACUCUUGACAGUAGCGCUAUCGUUUGUCCAAAUCAUGUAUUUUCUUUAUUACUUCUUUUAUGUUAUCUGUUGUGAUCUGAUGAA